rnacentral:lncRNA from 1 species
GUCCUCGUUCUCCCCCCCCCCGACCUGUCCUCCUCUCCUCUGGACCACAAUCAUCUUUUAUACAUUUUUAUUCCCAUUUUAUUAAUUAUUUUUGCCUGGCACCAGAGAUAUUGGUGUACUUCCCAAAUGGCAUCCUAUUUCCUAUAUAGUACAAUACUUUUGACCAGGGUCCAUGAUUUCCUGGUGAGUGAAGCUGAAUACCCAUCUCUGCAGAAUCCGGGCCCAUAGGGCUCUGGUCAGAAGUAGUGCACUACAUGGGGAAUAGUAUGUCAUCUGGGAGGCAGCUAUUCCUUCCCGCUAACGUGAUGGGAACCUCUAACUAGUCCACCUGGAACAUUGCACUGACUGAGGUUUCUAAUAAUGCUAGUAGAAUGGUCCACAGAAGGUAGCUUUUUCCCCCCACAUCUUUGCGUUUUGUUGUCGAUAGUGUUGGUCAAGUUUCUGAUGGUAAAGUACUGCAGGGUGUUCAGAACAGAUUUUGGGAUACGGCCCCAUUGCUGACGCAAGGUAAGAUGUUCAGUAGUGAUUUGGAACGCGACACAUUGCCUGUUGCUGUCGGGUGGGUUUUGAAGCUGCACGGGCCAUGGAUUAAUUUAUCACUUUUUCUUUCUUUGCAUUUUAUUUAAUUCUAUGUGUGAAAAUGUCAUCUUUAAUUAGAAUGUCCAGAAUUUCAUAUAAACGUAUAAAGCUGUUGAUAUUAUCUUUUAAAAAGAGGGCAAAGGCUUGAGAAGCACCAAGAGGAAUAAUGCCACUGCAUUGCCUUAAUAUUGGAACCAUUUGAAAUCUUCUGACAUGUAUUUAUUUAUUUUUAGACGCUCUAGAUCUCUCUAUUCUACUUCUCUUUUGGUGCAGUUUGGCCUUGAGUUGUUUCCGUAGUUGUCUGAAUCUGAACAGUGUUUUGUUUGUUGUGUUAGCCUGUUAGAGAACCUGCCCCCUUAAGGUUAUAUUAAUAAGGUUAUAUUAAUAAGGUUAUUCUGAUGCCUUGUAAUACAGUAAUGACUUAAUCCUUCUUCUAACUGGGAUUCAUCCCAAAUGGCACCCUACUCCCUUUUAUAGUGAACUACUUUAGACCAGAACUGUGGUCAAAAGUAUUGCGCUAGAUAGGGAAUAGGGUUCCAUUUGGACAGAUCCCAGGACAUUAAGGUGAUCAUGUUUAAAACCCAUGCAGUGGUCUAACAUUAUUAAAAACAGGCACGUUGAUCACUUUUUAUUGUACAUGUAUGUUUUGGAGCCACGUUGCUUAGCGACCUGUUUGUAUUUUAACAUGACUAUAGAUCUCUUGGCUUGAUGACUUGGGUUAUUGCACCUCAACAUUUGCCCUUUACAGUGGGGAUAGAUUAGCCUGGGUCUCAGUCUGUUUGUGCCGUCAUGCCAACAGUUGCCCUUUACAGUGGGGAUAGAUUAGCCUGGGUCCCAGUCUGUUUGUGCCGUCAUGCCAACUCCUUGUCACUCAUUGUCAUAUCAAACACGUUGGGCUUGACAAGUACAGCAAGGAAGUUGGCCAAGACCACAAACAGAUCAGACUAAGGAGGAAAGAUGUAUUUAUUACCAGAUCAAUCACCAUAUAGGAAACUGUCUAACUACAGAAUGUGAAUUUCAGUUGAAUCAUAACCGCUCCCUGAGAUUCAGGGCCCAAACUACAACCUUUUACGUUCUCCUUCAAAGGGUUACCUGGCAGGGCCAUGAGAAGACAGGCAAUUGUUACCUGAAUGGCAGUGGGGGAAUUUAGGCCACAUAAAACAUAACAAAAUAAUUUACUUUAAAGAGAAUUAGUCACCAUCGAAAGACCUUGUAACCUGCUUGAGAUGGGUUAUUGUCCUGGCAAAAUAAAAUAUUGCUCACUUUCAAUAAUGAUUUUAUCCCUUUCUGUUUUAGUUCAUUUUGAUUUGGAAAAAUGUGAAACUAUUCAACUCAUUGUAAAACACAAUUGAACAUGUAUAACUGAUUUUGGUUUAAUAUAAUUUUUAUGUCGCAAGGUCUUGAUCAUCCAAUUGGUAGAGGUAGAUUUUCCUUUUGCCAAACAAGAUGUAAAUUAAGUUUUAGGUUUAAUUUGUUUAAUCACAGAAAUAGUUUAAAGAUUUAAGAAGUAUGUUUUUAGUAGGAAACAUUCAAACAAAUGACUUGUAAAUAGCCCAUAUUGGUUGAGUGGAUGUACGCUUUAUAAAUAAAGGGUAAUCUAAAAAUACUUUUGGUUAGACUCCUCUACUGACUGUCAAUCAUCUGAUGUGUCCCAAUUGGCAUCAUAUUCCCUAUAUAGUGACCCUGGACUAAAGUAGUGCACUAUCCUAUGGCCCGCGGUCUAAUGUAGUACACUACCCUAUGGACCCUGGUGUAAAGUAGUGCACUACAUAGGGAAUAGGGUACCGUAUGAAACACUGUCUUAAUACUGUAGAUUGUUCUGUUCAGUGUUAGCUGUUUUAAAUGAAUCUGUUGUAAACCUCGUCUUUAUGUGGCUUAUACAGGUGAUGUUGAAAUGACUGUUGGGCCCUUUCUGUGCAGGGACGGUGAAACUGUAUGGAUUUGGGAUAUUUAUGUGAAACAUCAAGGCUUUUUGUGCAGUUUAUUAAAUCCUCUCCUGAUUUAAAUUGUGUGUUAUCAUGAAACUCACACACACAGUAGUGAACAUAUUGUUUUCACAAGGGAACACAGAUCUAAUUCAGUUG